GACGAACGCUGGCGGCGUGCUUAACACAUGCAAGUCGAACGGAAAGGCCCUGCUUUUGUGGGGUGCUCGAGUGGCGAACGGGUGAGUAACAAGUGAGUAACCUGCCCUUGACUUUGGGAUAACUUCAGGAAACUGGGGCUAAUACCGGCUAGGAGCUCCUGCUGCAUGGUGGGGGUUGGAAAGUUUCGGCGGUUGGGGAUGGACUCGCGGCUUAUCAGCUUGUUGGUGGGGUAGUGGCUUACCAAGGCUUUGACGGGUAGCCGGCCUGAGAGGGUGACCGGCCACAUUGGGACUGAGAUACGGCCCAGACUCCUAAGGGAAGCAGCAGUGGGGAAUAGUGCACAAUGGGCGGAAGCCUGAUGCAGCAACGCCGCGUGCGGGAUGACGGCCUUCGGGUUGUAAACCGCUUUCGCCUGUGACGAAGCGUGAGUGACGGUAAUGGGUAAAGAAGCACCGGCUAACUACGUG
rnacentral:rRNA from 1 species